CUUAAGCUAAUACCGCAUAGCCCUACGGGGGAAGGAGGGGAUCUUCGGACCUUUCGCUAACAGAUGAGCCUGCGUAGGAUUAGCUAGUUGGUAGGGUAAAAGCCUACCAAGGCGACGAUCCUUAGCUGUUCUGAGAGGAAGAUCAGCCACACUGGGACUGAGACACGGCCCAGACUCCUACGGGAGGCAGCCAGUGGGGAAUAUUGGACAAUGGGCGAAAGCCUGAUCCAGCAAUACCGCGUGUGUGAAGAAGGCCUUAGGGUUGUAAAGCACUUUCCAAUUGGAAGGAAAAACCAGGGUCAAUACCCCUGGUCUUGACAUUACCUUUAGAAGAAGCACCGGCUAACUCCGUG
rnacentral:rRNA from 1 species